UACGUAGGGUGCGAGCGUUGUCCGGAAUUAUUGGGCGUAAAAGGGCUCGUAGGCGGUUUGUCGCGUCGGGAGUGAAAGUCCACUGGCUUAACUGGUGGCUUGCUUUCGAUACGGGCAGACUGGAGGUAUGCAGGGGAGAACAGAAUUCCGUGGUGUAGCGGUGAAAUGCGCAGAUAUCAGGAGGAACACCGGUGGCGAAGGCGGUUCUCUGGGAAUGUCCUGACGCUGAGGAGCGAAAGUGUGGGGAGGCGAACAGG
rnacentral:rRNA from 1 species